UUCGCAAUGCCCGAAAGGGUGACGAAGCGACGCCGCGUGUGGGAAGAAGGCCUUCGGGUUGUAAACCACUGUCGGGAGUUAAGAAAUGCAAGGAUAUGAAUAGUGUCUUUGCUUGACUAAGGCUCCGGAGGAAGCCACGGCUAACUCUGUGCCAGCAGCCGCGGUAACACAGAGGCGGCAAGCGUUGUUCGGAAUUAUUGGGCGUAAAGAGCACGUAGGCGGCUAUGUAAGUCGGUUGUGAAAGCCUUCCGCUCAACGGGAGAACAGCAUCCGAUACUACAUGGCUUGAGUGCGGGAGGGGAGAGUGGAACUUCUGGUGGAGCGGUGAAAUGCGUAGAUAUCAGAAGGAACGCCGGCGGCGAAAGCGGCUCUCUGGCCCAUAACUGACGCUGAGUGUGCGAAAGCUAGGGGAGCAAACGGGAUUAGAUACCCCGGUAGUCCUAGCCGUAAACGAUGGGCACUAAGUAGAGGGGUUUU
rnacentral:rRNA from 1 species